UGCCCCAUGGUGUAAUGGCAACACAUCUGAUUUUGGUUCAGGUAUUCAAGGUUCGAGUCCUUGUGGGGCAA
rnacentral:tRNA from 1 species